AUUGAACGCUGGCGGCAGGCCUAACACAUGCAAGUCGAACGAGUGGCGGACGGGUGAGUAAUGUCUGGGAAACUGCCUGAUGGAGGGGGAUAACUACUGGAAACGGUAGCUAAUCCCGCAUACCAUCAGAUUUGCCCAGAUGGGCUUAGCUAGUUGGUGGGGUAACGGCUCACACGGGCCACGAUCCCUAGCUGGUCUGAGAGGAGGACGAGCCACACUGGAAUGGAGACACGGUCCAGACUCCUACGGGAGGCAGCAGUGGGAAAUAUUGCACAAUGGGCGCAAGCCUGAUGCAGCCAGGCGGCGUGUAUGAAGAAGGCCUUGGGGUUGUAAAGUACUGUCAGCGGGGAGGCGUUACCCGCAGAAGAAGCACCGGCUAACUCCGUGCCAGCAGCCGCGGUAAUAC
rnacentral:rRNA from 1 species